ACGUAUCAGGUCACCAUCACCCUCAUCAACAUCAUCACCUCCAUCAAUGGAAGAUGACAAUUUGGCAACUUUACGAGAAAAUCGCCUGCCCAAAACACAGAAAAGGGUUAAUCGACUCCCUUCCAGAAACCUAACAGCCCCUCCUCCCUUACCAGUGGUCUCAAGACCAAAGAGCACAGAUGCCAUCAGAGCUGUGAUUUCACAGGCCAGACCAGUGUCCUCCAACAGUGACCUGUGGCAACCCAGCAAUAUGGACUCUUCCCAACGGAUGACAACAAAUUUGAGGCAAGAAUCGGAGGUCAGACUAGAAACAGACUGUCAUCAAAGGCCAUUUUACACUGAAUUAACAACAGUUAGUUGGAGGCCAAACGAGGCACAUCUUCCAACUCCAUGGCCUGAUGAUAGACUGGGCUUUCCUGAACGUGAGCUAUUUAAUCCUCUUACAUUGUUUGGGUCUGUGGAAUCUGUUUUGUUGAUGUUUACUAAAAGAAACAUGCUGGAAUUAACAUACUAG